UCUGCCUGAGAAGAAACUUCAUUUACAGCAGCGGCAGAGAUGAAGUUCACUGUGAACUAGUUUUGAAGACCAUAUGCUUUAGCAAGCCGAGGAGGGGAGAGAGGCUCUUAAAAAAACCAGCUUUUUCUUGGUCUCACUGUGGAUGAUGCUGCAUGACAACAUUGUGACAUCAUAACUUAUGAGCUUUUGCUUGCUGUUGCACCAACGGAGCCUCAGGGAGUGUAACAGCACCUUGGAAGUCUACCGUGCUUCCCCUCCGUGGAAUUUAAGGCACUUCACAGGCCUUUUCUUUCUAAACCUCACAACAUCUCUCUAAGAUGCUGGCCAAAAUCUAACCAUGUUGUCUUUGGCACUUUGGGCUGUCUCACUCCUCUGAAGCUACUCCCUUUCUGCCGUGUAGCAGCUUGUUGCCAUGUGGUGGUUUGCUGACCUCCGUUACUAAGCAUGCCAGUCUAAGCCAGAAGACAUGACUAUCUUUCUCAUUGAGGUAUACCUUCGUCCAGCAGCUCCUGAGACUUGCAGCUUGCUUUCCCAGUUGUUUUCUAACAAACACUGAUAAAAAUGUCUUGGAGCUUCC